rnacentral:tRNA from 1 species
AAUGUAGCUUAGUGGUAGAGCACUUGCCUACCAUGCAGGAGGCCUGCGCUUAAUUCCCAGCAUU